CGGAGAAGUUUCCCAAAACUGUAGGCGGAGAGAGGAUUGAAGAGCAAAAGUAUCGAUACAAAUGCCACCUGCACCUCUGUUCUCCGGUGUAUGACUGCUCCCAUCCUGUUCCUCGCCGUACACUGAUACUGGCCAGUGUCAGUCCUCUUCAGAGACGAGACAGUCAACCUAAAGAUGGACAGACAAAAUGAGAGCACGGUGAUGAGGCUGUGUUUUUAUCUCAGAUCUGUAAAUAAACACUGUUAAAAGGAGAAAGGCAGUGUUGGGGGUGAUGUUCGGAGACCAACGAGACAGACGGGAAAGAAGUUGGAGGUCUGUUUGUCCAUAUGUAUGCACUCUGUAAUUCUCUUUUAAUGACCUUGAUCUGAGAAUGGAUUGGGCCUAAGGUUGUCAAAGUUCCCCAAUAACAGAAGGGUAGGUGGAGUGGUGCAUAUGUGCGGUAUGUGUGUGCUCUGUAUGAGAAUGUUUUUGACUGUGUGUAUCAUUUUUUUUUUCUUUCUGAGAGGGGUUGUUAAUGGGGUUUUAAUGGACUGUGCUUCACUAAUGGGAAGCUUGGCAUAGGAUCUAGGUUGGUGGACAAAUGCAUAUACACACAUGCACAGACAACACACACACACACGUAUUACACACAAACCAGACAGACACAGUAAAACUGGACAUCGCUUUGGGGCUCAUUAUGAAUACCAGGACAGCCAAGUAUUUAACUCCCAGGCUGUUAGUGUAUGCUGCCAACACACACAAAACCCCCCCGCACACUUGGACAUCAAAGACUCACAUACGCAAUUCCAUUUGAAUCAGGAAUGACACAUUACACAGCAGCUCUCAUCCUGAAACAGAUUUUGAUAUUGGGACACGUCCUAACUAUGCAUCUGUGUAUGUGUGUGUGUGUUCCAUUACGUUUUCUAAUAGGCGUGUGCGGUGGGGCUGUCACUGAAAUCCCACCCCAAGUUUUCCUUUACUUUUCUGACUAAACUCAAAGUUCAAUGUUGAAAGGUCUCAAUCAAUACAAUCAUUUCACAGAAAAUGUCUCUGACACAGUCUCAGCCCAGCAUGUGAAGUCAAAUUCCCCGUGUGAUUCAAGAUAAGAACAGUUUCAAUCAUGGUUUAUAGUAAGACUGCUUCAGCGAGCCCUGUGGCACCAAACUGAACACGGAAAGGACUAGAUCUAUUUCUACAAUGUGUGAUGUUGGGAUGUGUGAAUACAGAAGAACACAUCAUUUCACAUUAAACCUAGUAGCACUUUACAUGUUAUAUAAUGGGAAUGUCUAAAUAUGGUUUAAGUGUCCCAUGAGUCAUUGUCUAGUUCUCGAGAAAUAAAAGGCAUUCUCUUAAUUCUCA